rnacentral:rRNA from 1 species
UUUAGCAUGAAGUCAGACAAGUGAAGC